rnacentral:rRNA from 1 species
UACGGGGGGGGCAAGCGUUGUUCGGAAUUACUGGGCGUAAAGGGCUCGUAGGCGGCCAACUAAGUCGGAUGUGAAAUCCCCAGGCUUAACCUGGGAACUGCAUCCGAUACUGGAUGGCUUGAAUCCGGGAGAGGGAUGCAGAAUUCCAGGUGUAGCGGUGAAAUGCGUAGAUAUCAGGAGGAACACCGAUAGCGAAGGCAGCUCGCUGGGACGGUACUGACGCUGAGGCGCGAAAGCGUGGGGAGCGAACAGG